rnacentral:rRNA from 1 species
GCCGAACCGCAGGCCCUUCCCGGUCUCGCGGAAUGUGGCGUUUGGGAGAGUCUUCUCGCGGCGUGGACGGCCAGUCAAAGUCCAACUUGACAGUGGCCAUGGCCCGUAGAGGGUGAUAGGCCCGUAAGGCGGCUGUCCCGCUGUGCCGACUUUUCCCUAGAGUCGGGUUGCUUGGGAGUGCAGCCCAAAGUGCGAGGUAAACUCCUCGUAAGGCUAAAUAUGACCCCGAGACCGAUAGCAAACAAGUACCGUGAGGGAAGAUUGAAAAGAACUUUGAAGAGAGAGUUCAAGAGUACGUGAAACUGUGUGGUGGUAAACGGAGGGGUUCUCGAAGUUUCCGAGGGGGACUCAACCUUGGUGGUGUCCGGCUCGCGCGCGUACGAUCAGCGAUGACGUCGCGCGCGGUCCCGGGCGCCUCCCGGACGCACUUUCUCCUCGGUCGACGGCAGGAACCGUUAGGAGCGGACCGAAGGCUCGGGGUGAAGUUGUCGGUUAUGCCGGCAGCCCUCGGUGUCCUGGCUCCGCGCCUGACGGGUACCUAAGCGAACUCGUAUACCGAGCGACGCUCUGUCGCGGUUCGCGUCUCACUGCCGAGUAGGUCGGCGGCCCCUCCGACCCGUCUUGAAACACGGACC